rnacentral:rRNA from 1 species
AGUGAACGCUGGCGGUAGGCCUAACACAUGCAAGUCGAACGGCAGCACAGUAAGAGCUUGCUCUUACGGGUGGCGAGUGGCGGACGGGUGAGGAAUACAUCGGAAUCUACUUUUUCGUGGGGGAUAACGUAGGGAAACUUACGCUAAUACCGCAUACGACCUACGGGUGAAAGCAGGGGAUCUUCGGACCUUGCGCGAUUGAAUGAGCCGAUGUCGGAUUAGCUAGUUGGCGGGGUAAAGGCCCACCAAGGCGACGAUCCGUAGCUGGUCUGAGAGGAUGAUCCGCCACACUGGAGCUGAGACCCGGUCCAGACUCCUACGGUGGGCAGCAGUGGGGAAUAUUGCACUAUGGGCGCAAGCCUGAUCCAGCCAUACCGCGUGAGUGAAGAAGGCCUUCGGGUUGUAAAGCCCUUUUGUUGUGAAAGAAAAGCAGCAGGUUAAUACCCCGCUGUUCUGACGGUACCCAAAGAAUAAGCACCGGCUAACUUCGUG